AACCGAGUCUUAACUGGGCGUUAAGUUGCAGGGUAUAGACCCGAAACCCGGUGAUCUAGCCAUGGGCAGGUUGAAGGUUGGGUAACACUAACUGGAGGACCGAACCGACUAAUGUUGAAAAAUUAGCGGAUGACUUGUGGCUGGGGGUGAAAGGCCAAUCAAACCGGGAGAUAGCUGGUUCUCCCCGAAAGCUAUUUAGGUAGCGCCUCGUGAAUUCAUCUCCGGGGGUAGAGCACUGUUUCGGCAAGGGGGUCAUCCCGACUUACCAACCCGAUGCAAACUGCGAAUACCGGAGAAUGUUAUCACGGGAGACACACGGCGGGUGCUAACGUCCGUCGUGAAGAGGGAAACAACCCAGACCGCCAGCUAAGGUCCCAAAGUCAUGGUUAAGUGGGAAACGAUGUGGGAAGGCCCAGACAGCCAGGAUGUUGGCUUAGAAGCAGCCAUCAUUUAAAGAAAGCGUAAUAGCUCACUGGUCGAGUCGGCCUGCGCGGAAGAUGUAACGGGGCUAAACCAUGCACCGAAGCUGCGGCAGCGACGCUUAUGCGUUGUUGGGUAGGGGAGCGUUCUGUAAGCCUGUGAAGGUGUGCUGUGAGGCAUGCUGGAGGUAUCAGAAGUGCGAAUGCUGACAUAAGUAACGAUAAAGCGGGUGAAAAGCCCGCUCGCCGGAAGACCAAGGGUUCCUGUCCAACGUUAAUCGGGGCAGGGUGAGUCGACCCCUAAGGCGAGGCCGAAAGGCGUAGUCGAUGGGAAACAGGUUAAUAUUCCUGUACUUGGUGUUACUGCGAAGGGGGGACGGAGAAGGCUAUGUUGGCCGGGCGACGGUUGUCCCGGUUUAAGCGUGUAGGCUGGUUUUCCAGGCAAAUCCGGAAAAUCAAGGCUGAGGCGUGAUGACGAGGCACUACGGUGCUGAAGCAACAAAUGCCCUGCUUCCAGGAAAAGCCUCUAAGCAUCAGGUAACAUCAAAUCGUACCCCAAACCGACACAGGUGGUCAGGUAGAGAAUACCAAGGCGCUUGAGAGAACUCGGGUGAAGGAACUAGGCAAAAUGGUGCCGUAACUUCGGGAGAAGGCACGCUGAUAUGUAGGUGAAGUCCCUCGCGGAUGGAGCUGAAAUCAGUCGAAGAUACCAGCUGGCUGCAACUGUUUAUUAAAAACACAGCACUGUGCAAACACGAAAGUGGACGUAUACGGUGUGACGCCUGCCCGGUGCCGGAAGGUUAAUUGAUGGGGUCAGCGCAAGCGAAGCUCUUGAUCGAAGCCCCGGUAAACGGCGGCCGUAACUAUAACGGUCCUAAGGUAGCGAAAUUCCUUGUCGGGUAAGUUCCGACCUGCACGAAUGGCGUAAUGAUGGCCAGGCUGUCUCCACCCGAGACUCAGUGAAAUUGAACUCGCUGUGAAGAUGCAGUGUACCCGCGGCAAGACGGAAAGACCCCGUGAACCUUUACUAUAGCUUGACACUGAACAUUGAGCCUUGAUGUGUAGGAUAGGUGGGAGGCUUUGAAGUGUGGACGCCAGUCUGCAUGGAGCCGACCUUGAAAUACCACCCUUUAAUGUUUGAUGUUCUAACGUUGACCCGUAAUCCGGGUUGCGGACAGUGUCUGGUGGGUAGUUUGACUGGGGCGGUCUCCUCCUAAAGAGUAACGGAGGAGCACGAAGGUUGGCUAAUCCUGGUCGGACAUCAGGAGGUUAGUGCAAUGGCAUAAGCCAGCUUGACUGCGAGCGUGACGGCGCGAGCAGGUGCGAAAGCAGGUCAUAGUGAUCCGGUGGUUCUGAAUGGAAGGGCCAUCGCUCAACGGAUAAAAGGUACUCCGGGGAUAACAGGCUGAUACCGCCCAAGAGUUCAUAUCGACGGCGGUGUUUGGCACCUCGAUGUCGGCUCAUCACAUCCUGGGGCUGAAGUAGGUCCCAAGGGUAUGGCUGUUCGCCAUUUAAAGUGGUACGCGAGCUGGGUUUAGAACGUCGUGAGACAGUUCGGUCCCUAUCUGCCGUGGGCGCUGGAGAACUGAGGGGGGCUGCUCCUAGUACGAGAGGACCGGAGUGGACGCAUCACUGGUGUUCGGGUUGUCAUGCCAAUGGCACUGCCCGGUAGCUAAAUGCGGAAGAGAUAAGUGCUGAAAGCAUCUAAGCACGAAACUUGCC
rnacentral:rRNA from 1 species